UUUAAAGCCCUCACAACCACAUAAAACUCUUUAUCAUAGGUAGACCACUUUCGACUUGGCUCACUCAACUUUUCACUAAAGAAGGAAAUUAAUCUCUUUUCUUAGGAAAGCACAACACCUAUUCCCAAACCACUAGCAUCACAUUCAACUUCAAAUAAUUUCUCAAAAUUAGGAAAUGCUAGAACAAAGAUUGUACAUGGCUUCUCUUUAAUCAAGGCAAAGCUCUUCUUUGCUCCUCAUCCCAUUGGA
rnacentral:misc_RNA from 1 species